rnacentral:rRNA from 1 species
AGUGAACGCUGGCGGUAGGCCUAACACAUGCAAGUCGAACGGCAGCACAGGAGAGCUUGCUCUCUGGGUGGCGAGUGGCGGACGGGUGAGGAAUACAUCGGAAUCUACUCUGUCGUGGGGGAUAACGUAGGGAAUCUUACGCUAAUACCGCAUACGACCUACGGGUGAAAGCAGGGGACCUUCGGGCCUUGCGCGAUUGAAUGAGCCGAUGUCGGAUUAGCUAGUUGGCGGGGUAAAGGCCCACCAAGGCGACGAGCCGUAGCUGGUCUGAGAGGAGGAUCAGCCAUACUGGAACUGAGACACGGUCCAGACUCCUACGGGAGGCAUCAGUGGGGAAUAUUGGACAAUGGGCGCAAGCCUGAUCCAGCCAUACCGCGUGGGUGAAGAAGGCCUUGGGGUUGUAAAGCCCUUUUGUUGGGAAAGAAAUCCAGCUGGCUAAUACCCGGUUGGGAUGACGGUACCCAAAGGAUAAGCACCGGCUAACUUCGUGCCAGCCGCCGCAGUAA